rnacentral:rRNA from 1 species
UGGAUGAGCCCGCGGCCUAUCAGCUUGUUGGUGGGGUGAUGGCUCACCAAGGCGACGACGGGUAGCCGGCCUGAGAGGGCGACCGGCCACACUGGGACUGAGACACGGCCCAGACUCCUACGGGAGGCAGCAGUGGGGAAUAUUGCACAAUGGGCGAAAGCCUGAUGCAGCGACGCCGCGUGAGGGAUGACUGCCUUCGGGUUGUAAACCUCUUUCUGCAGGGACGAAGCGUGACUAACGGUACAUCCCUGAAAGCACCGGCCUACACAUUCCCGU